CGGCAGGCCUAACACAUGCAAGUCGAGCGGAUGAAGAGAGCUUGCUCUCUGAUUCAGCGGCGGACGGGUGAGUAAUGCCUAGGAAUCUGCCUGGUAGUGGGGGACAACGUCUCGAAAGGGACGCUAAUACCGCAUACGUCCUACGGGAGAAAGCAGGGGACCUUCGGGCCUUGCGCUAUCAGAUGAGCCUAGGUCGGAUUAGCUAGUUGGUGAGGUAAUGGCUCACCAAGGCGACGAUCCGUAACUGGUCUGAGAGGAUGAUCAGUCACACUGGAACUGAGACACGGUCCAGACUCCUACGGGAGGCAGCAGUGGGGAAUAUUGGACAAUGGGCGAAAGCCUGAUCCAGCCAUGCCGCGUGUGUGAAGAAGGUCUUCGGAUUGUAAAGCACUUUAAGUUGGGAGGAAGGGCAGUAGAUUAAUACKYUGCAAUUUUGACGUUACCGACAGAAUAAGCACCGGCUAACUCUGUGCCAGCAGCCGCGGUAAUACAGAGGGUGCAAGCGUUAAUCGGAAUUACUGGGCGUAAAGCGCGCGUAGGUGGUUUGUUAAGUUGGAUGUGAAAGCCCCGGGCUCAACCUGGGAACUGCAUUCAAAACUGACAAGCUAGAGUAUGGUAGAGGGUGGUGGAAUUUCCUGUGUAGCGGUGAAAUGCGUAGAUAUAGGAAGGAACACCAGUGGCGAAGGCGACCACCUGGAC
rnacentral:rRNA from 1 species